ACGGUCGUGGACCUAUAUUCCUGCCCUCCGAAGGCAGGGGUUGCUGGUUCGAUCCCAGCCGGGCGCGCCA
rnacentral:tRNA from 1 species